rnacentral:lncRNA from 1 species
AUUGACCAGGAGAAAGAUGUUAAAAGAUAGAGUAUUCUAAAGGAAGAUGAAAAAAGGAUUGCAUUUGCUAUGGAUUCAAAUGUCGUUUAAACACCUCUCUUGUUAUGGAGAAAAUGAAUCCUGAAAAACAUUUUACAAAAAGAUUUCAAUCCCAUCCCUAGCAAUCAUCUGGUUUGCCACAGCCCAAAUGUCUCAUUAGCAAUCUGAAAUUGCACACGGUUGGAGAAAAUAUAGCAAGAGGAUAUAGACACUGCCAUGGGGAAAAGAAAAAGAAAAAAGGAAAAAAAGCAACUGUGACUAACUCUGCUUAUGUAAACAAGGAAUGUCUUAGUGGAAUACAUGUAAGCUUUCUCCUGAAGGAAUCCCAGUUAGAAUACCAUCAGAAAUAGCAAACCCAUUUCAACAUCACAGCAGUAAUAUAUGCCAAUUUUAUUAGCACUGAGGCACAAAGCCACAUUUGUCAGGGGGAAAGGUAAACAAAAAUUCCCAACACUGCAACUGAUAAAGCCACCUUUCAAGAGCAGUUGUUGAGAGAGAAAUUUAAAAGGUAGUAUUUUUGUCAUAACUAUAGUAAUGUCUAGUAAUGUCUCUGACUUCCACCUAGGGACAAAAUUACUUUUACUUCUCCCAUUAUAAGUUUUUAUAUAGAGCUGAUAUUCCACAGCAGUAGGCAUCCUAUUUUUAUAUUUUGUUAAGUACCUCUCAUUUAAUUUGACCCCCAUUUCACAUUUGAUUAGAAAAUCCUAAACUGGAAACAUAGAUUUUUCUGCCUUUUUAAAAAACAAAUCUGCACCAUAAGCAUUUUCUAGAGAUGACUGCCUUAAGCCAUCCUGAUAGCCCUGUCAAUCAGUGACAGGUGCGUGGAUUAAGGCGCGAACCUGUAAAUGGACUGAAAUUUCCUUCUGCACCAGGAGCUGCCUCUUCACACAAACUCAUGUCUCUUCUUCCUCAACCCCUUGUGCCAGCCCAGCCUCUUGAACUGACCCAGGUCCACCUGUCAGUCAAAAGAACCGCAACUUCUAAUUACACGUGUUGACAGCUUGUCCAACUGAAUUUCGCAUCGAUGGAAUUUCACGGAGUGCCUUUAGUGUUCUUGCUUCCUCUUUACUCCUUUAUAUAGGUCCUUGCAUUAGAUGGACUUUAAAAAGUAUUUUACUAGAAAAACCCAACAUAAUUUUGUGUUCGGGGAAGAAACUGUGAACAACCUUAGCUAUUAUAAUCACUCUGAGAUAAUAGGGACAAGAAUUUCACCUGUGUGGCAAGAGGAGCCAUUUAAUACUAUUCCUAAAAUAAUAUUCUCUGAAGAAAGGCCAUAGAGUCUUCCUGAAAUAGUUUUUUUGGGACUCAAAUCUAAUACUGUAUAAAAGGCACAUUCCCUUCAGAGGAAGGUCAUAGGUUAGAGCAUGAGUUUGUGUCACAUUUUACAUGGAUUUGCUGCAUAUGCAAAUAUAGGACUUAAACUUUGGAAUCUCUGUUUCUCAAAAAUUAAACUGGCACCAGUGGAAUCUGUCCCUUGACUACAUUAUAAGAAUGACUUGGGAAAAAUCCAAUACUGAUCUUCACAUUCUAAAUGGAAAAGCUUUGUCCUGGGAGCACAAAUAACUGGUGUGUUUUAAAAUAAGCUGCUACAGGGGUUCUUAACACCUGGUCCCCAACAAGAAAGCAGAAGCAGCAACUUUGAAAUUUGAUAGGUGUCUAAAUUCUCUGGUGCCACCUGAGGCCCUAACUCAGACCUACGAAUCAGAAAUUCUGGGAGUGAGCCCCGCACUGUGGGUUUUAACAAGCCCUUGGGAUGGUUCUAAAGUUAUGUUCAAGUUUGCAUGGUCAAGAAAAAUUCAUGUCACGCACAGUUUAACUCUGUCUCCUCAUAGGAAGAAGCUUUAAAGCUUAAAUGAUCAGUUCCACCUAGGCCCAGCCCAUUCUGAUAUAUGGACAGAAAUAUCCACCAAUCCAAUGUAAAAUACAAUUUAAAGGAAAAUUGAUCCUAACAAACACUCCUUACUUGUGUAACUGAGCUUCAGGCAGGAUCUCCAAUCAAAGAGAUUUCAGCUUUUCUAGUUCUUUUCUUUUCUAGUUCUUUUUUAAAACCAACAGCUAAUCUGCUUUGCCUGACUGCCCAGGGUCUAGAGAAUGACCUUGGACACCUGUUUCUUGAUUAGCUCUGGCCCAUUUGCCUUAAUGCUAAACCGACAUUUAACAGAACCGAGUUAUAGUUAAUGACAAGGUCUACUGGUUUGAAGAGAGGGUGUGGACAGAACUAAAACGACUGCUGAUUCUAAGUGAGCUUUGGUUUUAGGAGAUAGUUUCAAAGGCUCACAUAGCUCAUAAAAGCUGGAAACCACAGACAGAGUAGACAUCAAUCUCAAGACCCCUGGGAGCUUUUUCCUAGGCUUAUUUGAAUUGGUGCAGAACCAGACUGGAGAGCCAGCAAGUGAUUUUGCUUCUAAAAAUGGCUUAAGUAAGGGAGUUUAAGAUAGUAGGUUACGUGUGUGUGCAUAUGUGUGUAUGCUUCCUUAAAUCAAACCUGAAAAUAACACAUUAACAGCUACUUCAAACAUCCAUAUGUAUUGUGGCCCCUCCUGUUGAUCCAGAAAAGUAAAUUCAAAGUUGGCAAAAAAGAGGCCUCAAAUAGAAUCUCAACAGUAAUAUUUUGAAGAAAAAUGUUAAACUAUCUUUCCAGGUCUCCCUUAGAAGGAGUCAGACUGGUCAGAUACCUUCACAUGACUGCUAUUUUUCAGGAAUUACUGAAAAAGAUAAUUGAUAUAUCAUAAUGUUCUACUUGCUUCUCUAAAAUCUGUCGACCUGGUCAAAGUUUGAGCAUUUGGGUGUCCCAUCCCAUGUUCUGCCUCUGACAGCUUUUUCUCACUGGCUCUUCCCUGAUGUGACCUGACCAUCACAUAGCCCCAGCUAAAGCACAGUCUCUCCAUCCUCUGUCCCCACCCCCAUGCCCAUCUCCAUCUACAUAUUGUCUUUCAUUCAAAGUUAAAGGCUCACUGAGAAGAUACUUCUUAGAAUAAUCACCAAAUGUCAAGAUGCUUAUUGAGGGGACAUGCACUUUUGUAGGGGAGGGGCUGGAUCACACUGACUGGGACUCACUCAGGUCCAGCAACUUGACCUCUCUUCCAAAACUUUGCAGUCCACAAGGCCAACUUAUAGCGGUGGCUAGCCUUUGUCCACAAUCCUUGGUUUUUAAAGGAGUUCCCACUGAGGCGCAAAGGGAUCGGCAGCAUCUCUGCAGCACCAGGACACAGGUUUGAUCUCCAGCUGGGCAUAGCAGGUUAGAGGGUUCAGUGUUAAGUGUAGGUUGCAGCUUCAGCUCAGAUCUGAUCCCUGGCCCGGGAAAUCCAUAAGCCAUGGGGUGGCCAAAAAAGAAAAUACUCUCAGAAAGCUUAGGAAAAUAAGUUACAUCUUCUAAGGCCCUUUUAACCUAUAUGGUACCUUAAAAAGGCCUUGACAUUAGAAGGUAACAGAUAAUCUCCUGGCAGCUUUUGCCUUUCAGUGCCAUUCACAGUGAUUUUCACAGGCCAGUGGUGCAAUUUAACCCUUCUAAUAAGCCAUAAUAAUAGUUGUUGGCACAACUGUUAUUACAAUGGGGACUUCCCUGGAUUUCAUCUAUUAAUUUGCGUAGACAGUAGGAAGCUCACACUGAAGAGACAUUUUGAGCUUCCUAGAUGAGGGCAACAGAAGGAACCAGGACCUUGUACAGACUGUAUAUCUGCACAAAACAUAGCUUCAUGCCCUGGGAGUGCCCUGUGAGGGGCAGGUGAGAUGGGAGAAUUCAAGGAGGAAACAUUUAGAACAUCUCCUUUGUCUUUGAUCACAAUUCAUUCCCACUGAAUAAGCUUGGUGGAUACUUUGAUAGUGAACUUAACUCCUUCUAGCUAGCACAACAGGCAAUCCUUAAAAAAAAAAAAGGGAGGCAGGACAUUGUGUCAAAGGUGCCUCUUCCUGAGAGGUGACAAUUAAUUCCCUGUAAGAGACAGAAGAAAAAAAAAAAAAAAAAAAGACGCACCUAUUCACAUUCUGUAUGCUCAGUGUAAAGGACCCACCACAAACUCCCCAGACAGAGAGGGGGAGGAUGGAAAGACGAGGGGCAAAAACGCAGACAGCAAUCCUAACGUUCCUCUAGUUGACCCCGAAGGUGUUCACAUGUCUAAAGCUAUUUUUUAAAUCACUGCAUUUUGAAAUUUCUGAGUAGUGAUAUGUCAGUUUUACAUUUGAAUGCUUAACUGACUUUUUCCAGGUUCUAUUCUUCCAUGCCGAUGAGUGUAAUCUCUAAGACUUGCCAUUUUGAGUACAUACACACCACCACACACACACACGUAGACACACACAGACACACACACAAAGGUAAAUGCGUUACAGAUUAUUCAUUUUGUGGGAAACACAAUGUAUUAUAACCAAAAAGAUUCUAGUGGAUUCUUUCAAUGUAUUUCAGUGAUAAUAUUUUGUGGGAAAUAAAGGUAUUCAUACCUUCUCUUUGUUGACCAUCUUGUUGAAUUUAUGAUCUUAAGCAACACUGUUAAAAAUGUCUGUGUAAAAUAUCAAUGAAUCCAUAUUCCUUGAAUUUGACUUUCAAAAAAAAUAUGUGCUAUUUUUUUCUAUCUGUGGUGUUUUCCUAUUAACCUGUAGUAGUGAGCAAGUGAGUGAUAAUCAUCAAAAAGGAAAAUGGCCUACACAAAAUGUUAAAAGUGGAGGAAGUUAUUAUAGGCUUCUGCCAAACACCAUUGUUUCAUAAUCUAGAUUAACUUUCUUCCAUGAUUAUAAGAAAUGCUCACUCACCCUGUCAUCUUCUGUCUUUUGAAAAUUCAUAUUUUGUAUUUCUAAGGGCCAAGGAAGAUGUUUUUUAAGCCAAUGUAAUACACAGGCACCUUGGAAAGGAGACAUGCAAUGACUUGGGUCAACUACAUAAGGGCAGGUUAGCAUUCCAACAUCUGAUGGCAAAUUUAGCACUCUUUCCUAUAAUCCUUAUAGUGCACUAAAUUACAUUUGGGGAUUUCAGCUGCUCUUUUCAAAUUAAAGGCACCAACAUUAACAAUAGAUCCCAUCUAACAUGGAGAGGUAUUAAAACAUUCUCGUUCAAGCACCUUAAGUGAGUGGAAAUUACCGUCUAAUUUCCCCACCUCACCAUCUCAUGUAAAUUAACCUGGAGGUCUAACAGUGUCACAUAGAAGGUUAUGAGACUACGCAGACUAUGAGAUUUGUGCAGUUAGCAAGAACUAGCCAUUAAAAAAAUAUAUUCAAAUGUUUUGUACAUAAAAUUUUCGAUUCCUAUAGUUUUGUUCAAACUGCUGUCUUUUAAAAUAAUUAGAUAUUAUUUGAAUUUUAAAAAUAAUCUAAGUUAGAUGUUGCUUUAUGGACUCUGUAAUUCAAUGUACACUCAGCCAUAUUCCUGUGGGAAAACAUCAAUCUUACUGACUUUCUUGGCAUGAGCCAGAUCUUCAUAGAUUCUUUAAGGACUCUAAGUAUGAGACAUAAAACGAAACAAAACAAACAAAAAAAACCCACCAAAAUUAAAUGCUAGUGAAGAAAUUAGAAACCUAUUGUAUAAAAUGUAUUUUUAAAAUCUUAAGAUAUAUGUGAUUAACACUGCCUGUUAAUCCAGUCUCUUUGUGAAAUAACCACAGCAUAAUAUUUGUUAAGACUCUUAAACACCAAAUAUUUGUGAUGUUUGUAUAGCACCAUUGUUAUAGCACGUGAUUUCCAAUGGUAAGCAUCUUUGUUGUAAUCAUGUCAGCCCACAGAAGAAUUUAUUCUGCUGUUAUGUACAACCAGCUCUCAGAAUUCAGAUUUCCUGCAGCUGCUGUAUCACCAAUAAAUGAGAAUUAAUUGUGAAAACAGUUUUUAAAGAAUUGAGUUUAUGAUCACUGUGCAUUUUCCUAAUGAAUGAAUUCAGAGAGUUUUAUUUUUACCAGAAAUGCUCUCUCUCAGUCAGUAAAUACAACUGCUGAUUUCAACCGUACUAUGAUUUCAAUGGUUUCUAUAUUCUUGAUCUAACUACCAAAAACCAGAAGCUUGUUUCAAGAUGCGUCCUAACAAAUGUAUAAUAAAUGACUUUUCCUG